rnacentral:rRNA from 1 species
UGAGUAACCUGCCCCAGACUCUGGAAUAACCCCGGGGAAACCGGAGCUAAUACCGGAUACGAGACGAAGCUGCAUGGCUAUCGUCUGGAAAGUUUUUCGGUCUGGGAUGGACUCGCGGCCUAUCAGCUUGUUGGUGGGGUGAUGGCCUACCAAGGCGACGACGGGGGGUANCCGGCCUGAGAGGGCGACCGGCCACACUGGGACUGAGACACGGCCCAGACUCCGUACGGGAGGCAG